CUGUUCCAAAGGCUGGGAAGAACUAAGCUGCCCCAGCUCCUCCCAUUUCUUGGGCAGGGCUCUUUCCUGUUGUGUGUUCCUCCAGGGCCUGUCCUGUACCGAGCUCUGUCUGUUCCAGCCUUCAUCCUUCCUGGCUGUUGCUUUUCCUCUUAAGGGCCUUAGAACUCUUGCUCUUCCUGGGCUGUGGGGGAAUGAGUGUUCUUGCCAUUUGCCAGCCUAAUGCGCAUGGUUUCUGCCCCUGAUAACAGGAGUGAGUGAGCCCCUCAGACCUGCACUCUGGGUGUCUCCUGCUUUCAAAGGUUCUUAAUAGUGAAUGCUUUAAAAUUAAAGUCACCACAAAAUGGAAGUUUUCCCAGGGUGGAAAACAAGAGGAAGUGCUGCUGUAAUUGGGAGCACAAGGGGCCUCCCAAAAAGGAGCCCCACCUCAGCAUCACUGCCUUAUUUGUGGCCUCCGUGGGGUGAGUGGGGUUCUCUCCUCCCUCCCUCCCUCCUCCUGGGGUGGGAGGGCGCUCCUAUUCCCAUCUUUGUGUUCCCUGGAGGCAGGUAUCACAAAACAUUUGUGAAUUGCUUUAGGUGCAGGGACACCACCCACUCAGGACUUUUCCCCAUCAUCCCUUCCAUUGCCACACCCUAGAUCCAGCCUCAGGAACUAAUAAGUUUUGAGAAAAGCAGGCGGUAGAGCAGCAGCUUGGUGCUCUCAGCGGUGGCUGGCUGGCAUUUUUCUCUAGCAUUGUGGUGCCACCUUCCCUCCUUGUCCCAAGGUUAUAAGGCCUUGUCUUUCUCUUUGGAAUCAUAAAGUGGAACAGAGUCCCCAGAACUCGUGUGGCCAUUUCCGCCAGCAUCACUCCCCGGUGCCUGUGGGGUCCCGGUGUACCUAAUGGGAGAACGAUCCCAUGUGCUAGCCAGAAAUAUACCGUCUCUUGAAGGAAAGCAGGAGCUCAGACUUUUAGAGCCAGCUGUGGCUUCGGACCCAAGGCCUGACCUAGGCUGCUAUCCUAAUAUUGCAGAAGGGGCCUCUCUUCCAAGCCCCACCCUAAGGGUUAGCCCUUGGCCAAAUCUUUUGCCAUCUGGUCCCAGCUAGGCUUUUCUGACUAAAUAAGCAAUAACAGGGUCUAAGCUGACUGAGUUGCAAGGACCCUUUCCACCCUCCCUUGGAUCUCCAUGUUUUUCCAGAUGGAGGAAGAGCAUGUGCCACCCCCUGUCCUAACAGGCUUGUCCAAGUGCUUGGUGUGGGACCCAAGACCAAAGCCCAGGAUGGCUUGGUGGGAGUGUCCCUGCUGCAUCUGCAUGAAGCCCCUGCUUUCUAGGCCUCACUCCCAUCAGAACCCUGCCUGCCCACCUGCAACUCCCCCACAGCAAUGCCAUUCCCACUUGCCCCAGAGAAGCUACUCAGCCAAACCUAGCCAGGGUCUGUUCAUGUAGACCAGAGCCAGCCUAGUCAUUAUUUGCUGUCGGGUUUCCAGUUUCACUGUGUGUUAGGGCGAGGGAUGAUUGUAAAAUUUGCUCCUCAAAGGAAUCAGGCCAGACUCAAUUUUGGAGGGCAAGACAGGGAGGAGGCCGCUUCAUCCCAGACUCUCUUCUAGGGCUUCCCACCAUCAGCCCCUCCCACUUGAGACUGGUCUUCAGGAGGCAAUAGGCCACCAUGCCUGGUCAGCAUCAAUUCAAGCCAUGCCAGGAAUCUGCCUACCUGCCAGGUUCAGUUCCUUUAAGGUGCCUCUUAAGGGACACACUGUGUCUCUCUGAUUGGGCUUCUAAAUCAAAAGCCUGAUGUUCGUGUCCCUCUCAUAGGGGGAGCUUUGGAUACAGGACCAGUUUGGAAAAGGGUCAGGUAAGGGUUUCCACUCUGCACAUUGUAGAGGGGACGCUCGGUAGCCCAUGGGUCCCUUACUAAAGAGGUUGAGUGAAUUUGCCUUCAGUUAACCUGGGACCUUCUGUUUAGCUUCCUUCUGCUUCCCAAAGAUUUUAAGCAUUUUGUAAAUGUAUAAACUCACCUCUGGCAACAGUGGCCCAGAUGCUGCUUUGUGCUAUGUAAAGGCAGUCUUUCCCUGGGAAAUGGAUGCUAUUCUAUUCUGCUGCCCCUACCUGUUCCUGAGGCUUCAUUUAGAAAGAAAAUACCCUCAGAAGGCUGUCUGAUUCUGACUACCUUGCUUACAGAUUCAUGGUUUGAUAAAUUUGUUGCAUUCAAAAAC
rnacentral:lncRNA from 1 species